rnacentral:lncRNA from 1 species
CCGAAGAUGUUUUACUGGUAAAAUUGUUUAUACAAAAACAAAUGUAACUAAAUGUGGAUAACCAAACUUUUCAAACACAGGCUUUUAUUAAGUAAUAUUGACCGUGCAUGCCAGCUACUAGGAAAUCAUAGGAUCAAUUUGAACAAACUCGUAAUUAUAAAUGGUAGAAUCUUUCAAAAAGACUACUUCAGUUUUAAGGUUUAUUUGGAUAUAUUCAAGUGAACGAUAAUAGAUUUGAGAGAUCAUUGUACAUUCAAAACAAAAACAAACCCUACGCUACUUAUUCAGAGGCGGAUUCGGUCAUUUUAAAAAAGGGGUCUCAACCCAGGAUAAAAGCAUUUAAAUGCAUUGAUCGUC